UUCGAAGUGUUAUUCUCAGAUACGCCAAUCUGAUCCCUCAACAAUGAAAGGUAUUGUCCCUCAAGGAAGGAUUUUAUCUCCCGUGCCGUAUCGAGAGCCGAUGUACCGUGAGUGCUGCCUUGAGAGCUUAGUUCACAGAGUUAGGAAUGCCUCAACUGCACGUGGACAUAAGACCACCCAUUAAGAGGUGGCGUGAGCGCCUUGCUUUUGGUGGAAUUCAAACCCUUGACCUAUGGAAUACAGAGGUUUAAAUCACAUCAAGAAUGAAAUACUCAUGUCGCCUCUUAAUAGGUGGGCAUACGUAAACGUACAACCGAGACGCUCCCGACUCUAUAAACCAAACCCUUAAAACAGUAGCUCACAUCUUAAGUACAAUGCCUCUCAUUGUUGAGGGACCAAAUCAAUGUUCCGAAAACGACACUUCAAAAUAAGUUUUUUCCGAAAGAGCCGAUACCCACAACGGGUAAGAGAUUUUUGCCGCAUUUUCCAUUGAAUUAAUUGCUUUGGCUGAUUGAAAACGGGGGAAAUGGGGACCAUGUUCCCCAAUGAUUUGGAUAGAAC
rnacentral:lncRNA from 1 species